rnacentral:rRNA from 1 species
AGUGAACGCUGGCGGUAGGCCUAACACAUGCAAGUCGAACGGCAGCACAGUAAGAGCUUGCUCUUACGGGUGGCGAGUGGCGGACGGGUGAGGAAUAAAUCGGAAUCUACUUUUUCGUGGGGGAUAACGUAGGGAAACUUACGCUAAUACCGCAUACGACCUACGGGUGAAAGCAGGGGAUCUUCGGACCUUGCGCGAUUGAAUGAGCCGAUGUCGGAUUAGCUAGUUGGCGGGGUAAAGGCCCACCAAGGCGACGAUCCGUAGCUGGUCUGAGAGGAUGAUCAGCCACACUGGAACUGAGACACGGUCCAGACUCCUACGGGAGGCAGCAGUGGGGAAUAUUGGACAAGGGGCGCAAGCCUGAUCCAGCCAUACCGCGUGGGUGAAGAAGGCCUUCGGGUUGUAAAGCCCUUUUGUUGGGAAAGAAAAGCAGCAGGUUAAUACCCCGCUGUUCUGACGGUACCCAAAGAAUAAGCACCGGCUAACUUCGUG